CAGGCGCGAAACCUCCGCAAUGCACGCAAGUGCGACGGGGGAACCCCAAGUGCCACUCUUAACGGGGUGGCUUUUCAGAAGUGUAAAAAGCUUCUGGAAUAAGGGCUGGGCAAGACCGGUGCCAGCCGCCGCGGUAACACCGGCAGCUCAAGUGGUAGCCGCUUUUAUUGGGCCUAAAGCGUCCGUAGCCGGUCUGAUAAGUCUCUGGUGAAAUCCCACAGCUUAACUGUGGGAAUUGCUGGAGAUACUAUCAUGACUCGAGGUCGGGAGAGGCUGGAGGUACUCCCAGGGUAGGGGUGAAAUCCUGUAAUCCUGGGAGGACCACCUGUGGCGAAGGCGUCCAGCUGGAACGAACCUGACGGUGAGGGACGAAAGCCAGGGGCGCGAACCGGAUUAGAUACCCGGGUAGUCCUGGCCGUAAACGAUGUGGACUUGGUGUUGGGAUGGCUUCGAGCUGCCCCAGUGCCGAAGGGAAGCUGUUAAGUCCACCGCCUGG
rnacentral:rRNA from 1 species